UGGGGAUAUAGCUCAGCUGGGAGAGCGCCUGCCUUGCACGCAGGAGGUCAGCGGUUCGAUCCCGCUUAUCUCCA
rnacentral:tRNA from 3 species